rnacentral:sRNA from 1 species
AUCUGCUGUGGGCAUAUAUAAUGUAUAUGGUUGUCGAUUCCUCCAGCGGUAAGAAUAAGGCCUUCACCUGCUAUUACUUCUGUAGAGGCCCCUACAAUCAUGUCUGGGUGCACAUCUGGCAUAAUAUGAGGAUUGCCUCCUUUACCAAUGGCUUUGAUAUAGCCUCCUUUGAUUCCUAUGUCUGCUUUGUAAAUCCCUGUGUAGUCAAUGACCAAGGCAUUGGUGAUGAUGAGGUCCAGUACCUCUGAGCUACUGUAGCCUGAAGCCUGACCCAUACCAUCGCG